GCUGACCUUAGAAGGGAGAGAGAACACUCGUGGUGAAGCUCCAGCCCUGGGCCAGCCUGGGGCGGGGACCCGCUCCUAGUUAGGACGGGUAAUGAGCUGCAGUCAACUGACACGGAAACUGAGAUUCCAGGAGAUAAAGUGGCACCCUCAAGACCACGGUGAGAACAUGGUAAAGCCAGGAUUGAACAUAGCCUGUGUGUACUGUGCUACAGAGGAUCCAGGUGACCAUGUGUGCAAAGAAUUGAACCCAGUGCCUCACACAUGCCAGCCCCACGAUCACUGAAUAUUUAGGAAGACUUCCAAUGUGGACCUCUGAGACCAACAUAAAUUGAAAAGAGGACCUAAGCCAGACUCAAAUGGCCCUCCAGCCUAUUACUUCUCAAUCAGACUUCUAUCAUGGACCACUCGAUAGACCCGAUUUUUAAAGGGGGACUCCAAACUGUUUGCCCCACACCGUCUGUUUUCAGCCUGAAGAAGCCAGAAGGAUCUUUGCCCCCUUUCCUUACAGCAGUAAGGAGUUCUGAAAUUAGAGGGGGGAAUGAAGGCAGAUUUAAAGUUAGGUGGUCAGUGUAGUUAGGUAAAUCG